rnacentral:rRNA from 1 species
UACAGGGGGGGCAAGCGUUGUUCGGAAUUACUGGGCGUAAAGGGCUCGUAGGCGGCCAACUAAGUCAUACGUGAAAUCCCUCAGCUUAACUGGGGAACUGCGUGUGAUACUGGAUGGCUUGGAUUUGGGAGAGGGAUGCGGAAUUCCAGGUGUAGCGGUGAAAUGCGUAGAUAUCUGGAGGAACACCGGUGGCGAAGGCGGCAUUCUGGACCGACAUUGACGCUGAGGAGCGAAAGCCAGGGGAGCAAACGGG